AGAAACUCCGGACACGCCGCCUUUAAGAACUAUAACACUCACGGCGAGGGUCCACGGCUUCAUUCUUGAAGUCAGUGAAACCAAGAACCCACCAAUUCCGGACACAGCAGGAUCCCACCCACAGAACCGCCAGGUGCACAGCUGCAUAUCCUCAGGGGAAAACUCCCCUCCCCUGCCACCUUACUGAUAGGCUUCACUUCCCAGAGAACUUUCCCAAUCCUGUGCAAUGCCUGAGUGGUACAUUGUAUUCUAUGAGAAUGGCGCCCCCGCCUCCAGAGUUGUGCAACAAGACUUCCAUGAAUCAAAGCCCAUCGCUGGCUGCCUCCUCUAGCCCUGCAUAGCCCAGGUACAUCUGAAAGGAGUGAGAAGUGUUUUGAGGGCUCUCCCUGUCUCUUCCUGCACCUCUCUCUUGUGAUCCCAGAAGCUACAACCUCAGCCCAGAUUAGCAGGCUGAGGGGUCAGGAGGCUGUCACUGGAGCUGUUGAGCUCAUGAACACGCCGAAGUUGCUGCGCUCCAGAAAUGUGGAAGUUGGAAUGAAGAGCCACCACUGCUGCCACCAACAUGAAGCUUGACCAAGCAAGCCAAGAAAAGAUGGCCAAGAGCCUCUGCCUUCCUUCUGCCUUCUGCAACGCAAUGAGAAGGCUACUUGGACCUAAAGGAAUGAAUUAGGAAGCGGUCUACUACCAAAGUACAAUGAAGGGCUCAAGGGCAGUGACUGCCCCACUCCACCACAGAGUGGGAGAGGGCUGGACCCCAGUGCCACUUUCGGCCACCCCUGGGCCACACGGCCACCCCUAUCCCUGGGACAGGGACUGCAGGGUCACACCCUCAAACAACCACGCCUCAGCCAUACUCGCGCCACACUUUCCAAGCCUGUCCCAGACCAGGGACAAGCCCCUAGUAGGGUUGGGGGAGGAGACUAGAACUAGAGAGGUGGGACACCAAGCAUGGGCACCCCUGCAACCUCGGCCACCCCCAGCAUGGCACCAUGCCCCUGAGCACCGCCAGCUUGGAAAGGCAUCGGAUGGAGACGGGCGCUUUUCGACGAGAUACCCGCCACUUGCUCUGGGAUCCCGGAGAGGGUGGGCAAGCGUGGACCAGGGAAGGAGGCCCCCAGGGGUGUUGGGAGGGAGUUUGAGAGGGAGGAAGUAAGAGAGACGGAUGGCAACGGAGACGCCAGGCAUGCGCGAGGGGGUGGACAAACCCUGUGUCCAGGGCUGACUUUGAAUAGAUGGCAGGGAGGGAGCUGCUCUGCUAUGUAUGAAACCACGACCUAAAAACUAAUUUCUGUAAGAUACACCAUAAAGGUAAAAAUAAUGCAAGUGUUCAGCUGACAGUAAGUAUAAAUGGUACUCAUUUUCAUUCUUAGCUGGUUCUGACCUUUAGCGAUCCAUAGAAAGUACAUUCAUGAAAAUAACCAGUUUUAAGCACACAAACAAUAAAAGC
rnacentral:lncRNA from 1 species